rnacentral:rRNA from 1 species
CGUUGCCUACGGGAGGCAACAGUGAGGAAUAUUGGUCAAUGGGCGAGAGCCUGAACCAGCCAAGUCGCGUGAAGGAUGACGGCUCUACGGGUUGUAAACUUCUUUUGUCAGGGAGCAAUUGGGUCCACGCGUGGGCUUAGCGAGAGUACCUGAAGAAAAAGCAUCGGCUAACUCCGUGCCAGCAGCCGCGGUAAUACGUAGGGAGCAAGCGUUAUCCGGAUUUAUUGGGUGUAAAGGGUGCGUAGACGGGAAAUUAAGUUAGUUGUGAAAUCCCUCGGCUUAACUGAGGAACUGCAACUAAAACU